rnacentral:misc_RNA from 1 species
AAAAAGUAAGAAAGUAAUAAUAGAUUGGUAGCUUAGUGUUAAAAUUGAUUAUUAGUCUUUUAAAAGUUUAAAGUUCACUUUAGAGAGAAUAGUCAGAGAAAUAAGGAGAGAGGGGGAGAGAAAAUACAUAUAAAGAGAAAGUAGAAACAUGGUGGGAUGGGUUAGUGUUAAAUUUGAAACAUAAUACUUUAAAAAUUAAAAAUUUAGAGAGAAGCGAAAGAGAAGGAGAAUGUUUUUUCUUAACUCACCAUCAUUUUUAUCAAGGUGAAAGACGAGGCAAGGGCUUUUUUGAAGCAAGGCAUUAUAGCCUAAAUUGCCUAGAUUAUAUAUAUAUAUAUAUGGCACCAUGUCUAUAUUGAGGAACUAGGACACUAGUAAGAAAUGUAUAAAGUAAUUGCA